rnacentral:lncRNA from 1 species
UGACAGACUGAAUACAUUUUUAAUGAGGCACACAGUUAAUUGCAUAGGGCAUGACUACACAAUGCAAACCUGCAUAAAGCAAGUGCAGCCCUGUGAGUUUAAUUGUAAAAUUAUGUUGCUUUCUAUGUGCCUAUGUAUAGGAAACCCCGUUAGUCCUGUUUUAAAAUAUAAUUCAUAUGAACAAGUAUAAGGUUGCUGCAGUUUGACAGGGUUUUCAUCCUCCCCAAGGCCAGGAGUUUUUCCAGGAGUUUUUUCAACCAAAAACUCUGGUCCCAUCAUAGCCCAUUUUACAACAGAUGAAUCACGUUAUACCGUGUAAGGUUCAGCAUUUUACUUGGUUAGGUUACCAGAUUAGGAAAAACUAGAAUUUUUCUACGCCACACCACACUGGGACCUGUGGUGCCACCUCUGAGAUACAGUACACCCGGGUCGCCCCAUCUCAGGCUGCAGUAUUACAAAAUGGUGCGCAAUCCAAUGGCCAAAAAAACAUGAGCGCAGUAACCUAUACACAGAGUGACAGGUAUCAAAAGAUGAUCUAUUUCCACACAGGUAAAGUUAAAAUGCUAACCGUUUUAAAGAUAAAGUACUCUUUGGGUAUGUUGUUGACUUGUUAUGCUCUCCAUAUCCAACUGUGUAAAUGUUCUAUAGGAAGGGAAGCAUGUCCACACGUAGUGCUAUCCAAGUAAAUCGAACAUUCUCUUUUCAUUUCACAUUCUUAUCACUAAACUGAUAUACAUUCAAAUCUGAAGGCUGAUAGGGGUUUCACAACAAUUUAUUGAGCUCAGAACAACUCCCUUUCACACCCUCCAUGAUUCAGAAAUAUGUUUUGAUGGAACAUUAAGGCAUAGGUUCAUAUUAACUCCACAAACGAUGCACAAUAUAUUUCACAACGCGGCCAUUCCUUAUGUUUCUUACUGCUGUAAAUAGCAAAAUAUUAAUCCCAUUAUUUCGAUUGGUGGAUAUAUUAUAUGAUGCGUUUACGUCCAGUCAGGGAUGAGAUGUGUUUGAAGCACCAGCUAUGCUUUAUUUCUUGUGUUAGUGUAGUCAUGGUAACACUGUCCGUUUCCUGUGGUAGUAGCACUGUCAAUUUGAACUGCACUUCCUUCACUUUCAGACCCAAUCUACCACAUCCUUUGACAUCAGUACCAGCGAAGACAGUACCAGUGGUCUGUCAUAGCCUGGACUGGGUCAAGACAUGGUCUCCUCGUUCUACCUCUGACCCUGUGCCAAGUUCAUACAGAUACCAUGGAUGGGAGUAAGGAAUGGUGGAACAGCUGCUGUGGCCCUGGUGUCUGUACAGUUCAACUGGCUUUGGUGUGCCUUGAUGGCUGAUGGUGCCUGUCCCUUUGGUUUAACAGUAAUGCAAUUGGUGGAAAUUAAGGCUCUUCUACCCUCCAGUGCACUUAGUCUGAAAAGCAAAGAGGAGAAAGGGCUUGACUAAAAUGGCUGUUCAAAAUAUGAAGGAUGAGAGUGAACAGAGGAAGUAAAGAUGGAGUGAGGGGAAGGAAAAUAUGUUUAAAAAUAACAAAAAUAAAACGUGAACAUGAGCAGACUACAAAUUUCACAAGAACAUGUCUGUCUGUCUGUCUGUCUGUCUGUCUGUCUGUCUGUCUGUCUGUCUGUCUGUCUGCGAAGGAGAUAAAAGACGUGUGAGACCUUGUGGUUAUCCACACACUGCAUGUAAAGGUUGGCGAUGCCAGAGCAGGCGAGGGUCUGUCCUAUGUUUUCCCUGAAGCACUUCAGGAUCUGACUCUGCUGGUCACCACACACUGGCUUGAUGUCAACACACCUGGGAAUAGAGGGAGAAAGAGGAGAGGGAUGGACAGAGACUCAGAGAGAGACAACAGACAUCCUACCAUACCAUAUUCUGCCC